rnacentral:rRNA from 1 species
AACGAACGCUGGCGGCAGGCUUAACACAUGCAAGUCGAACGCCCCGCAAGGGGAGUGGCAGACGGGUGAGUAACGCGUGGGAAUCUACCUAGUUCUACGGAACAACACAGGGAAACUUGUGCUAAUACCGUAUACGCCCUACGGGGGAAAGAUUUAUCGGAAUUAGAUGAGCCCGCGUAAGAUUAGCUAGUUGGUGGGGGAAUGGCCUACCAAGGCGACGAUCUUUAGCUGGUCUGAGAGGAUGAUCAGCCACACUGGGACCGAGACACGGCCCACACUCCUACGGGUGGGAGCAUUGGGGAGUGUUGGACAAUGGGAGCAAGCCUGAUCCAGCAAAGCCGCGUGAGAGAUGGAGGCCUUAGAGUUGACAAGCUCUUUAAGUUGUGACGAUAAUGACGAUACCCACACUAGAAGCCCCCGCUAACUUCGUGCCAGCCGCCGCCGUAAAAC